CUACCGUCCGCGAAUGCACCANGCAGAUUAAUGAUCCUGGCUCAAGUGACCGCUGGCGUAAAGCCUAACACAUGCAAGUCGAACGGCAGCACAGGAGAGCUUGCUCUCUGGGUGGCGAGUGGCGGACGGGUGAGGAAUACAUCGGAAUCUACUUUUUCGUGGGGGAUAACGUAGGGAAACUUACGCUAAUACCGCAUACGACCUACGGGUGAAAGCAGGGGAUCUUCGGACCUUGCGCGAUUGAAUGAGCCGAUGUCGGAUUAGCUAGUUGGCGGGGUAAAGGCCCACCAAGGCGACGAUCCGUAGCUGGUCUGAGAGGAUGAUCAGCCACACUGGAACUGAGACACGGUCCAGACUCCUACGGGAGGCAGCAGUGGGGAAUAUUGGACAAUGGGCGCAAGCCUGAUCCAGCCAUACCGCGUGGGUGAAGAAGGCCUUCGGGUUGUAAAGCCCUUUUGUUGGGAAAGAAAUCCAGCUGGCUAAUACCCGGUUGGGAUGACGGUACCCAAAGAAUAAGCACCGGCUAACUUCGUGCCAGCAGCCGCGGUAAUACGAAGGGUGCAAGCAUUACUCGGAAUUACUGGGCGUAAAAGCGUGCGUAGAGUGGUCGUUUAAGUCCGGUUGUGAAAAGCCCUGGGCUCAACCUGGGGAACUGCCAGUGGGAUUCCCUGGGGCGACUUGAAGUUGUGGUACGANGGUUACCGGAUUCCUUGGUGUCCGUGAACUGCGUAGAGGNUCGGGNGGACCUUCCUUGGCGCAGGCGUACCUNGGACCACCUNGCUUGUGGCCCUACUGNCUUUGNGGGCGACAGNUGUUAUCCCGGUGUCUCUCCCCUCAUCUAUGCGACCGUUGUUGUGGCUGC
rnacentral:rRNA from 1 species